GUAGGGGCAAGCGUUGUCCGGAAUUAUUGGGCGUAAAGCGCGCGCAGGCGGCUAUUUAAGUCUGGUGUUUAAACCUUGGGCUCAACCUGAGGUCGCACUGGAAACUGGGUGGCUUGAGUACAGAAGAGGAAAGUGGAAUUCCACGUGUAGCGGUGAAAUGCGUAGAGAUGUGGAGGAACACCAGUGGCGAAGGCGACUUUCUGGGCUGUAACUGACGCUGAGGCGCGAAAGCGUGGGGAGCAAACAGGGAUUAGAUACCCUGGUAGUCCACGCCGUAAACGAUGAGUGCUAGGUGUUAGGGGUUUCGAUACCCUUGGUGCCCGAAGUUAACACAGUAAGCACUCCGCCUGGGGGAGUACGGUCGCAAGACUG
rnacentral:rRNA from 1 species